UACGUAGGGCGCAAGCGUUAUCCGGAAUUAUUGGGCGUAAAGAGCUCGUAGGCGGCUCAGUUAGUCGGGUGUGAAACCCCCGGGCUCAACCCGGGGACGCCACCCGAUACUGCUGUGGCUAGAGUCCGGUAGGGGAGCGUGGAAUUCCUGGUGUAGCGGUGAAAUGCGCAGAUAUCAGGAGGAACACCGGUGGCGAAGGCGGGUCUCUGGGCCGAUACUGACGCUGAGGAGCGAAAGCGUGGGGAGCGAACAGG
rnacentral:rRNA from 1 species